rnacentral:rRNA from 1 species
AGAGUGAACGCUGGCGGCGUGCUUAACACAUGCAAGUCGAACGAGAACGGGUUACAGCUUGCUGUAACUGUCAGCUAAGUGGCGCACGGGUGAGUAAUAUAUAGGUAACAUGCCCCAAAGAAGAGGAUAACGUUUGGAAACGAACGCUAAUACUCUAUAUGCCUUUAAGUCAUAAGACUGCAAGGGAAAUAUUUAUAGCUUUGGGAUUGGCCUGUACAGUAUCAGCUUGUUGGUGAGGUAAUGGCUCACCAAGGCUAUGACGCUUAACUGGUUUGAGAGGAUGAUCAGUCACACUGGAACUGAGACACGGUCCAGACUCCUACGGGAGGCAGCAGUGGGGAAUAUUGCACAAUGGACGAAAGUCUGAUGCAGCAACGCCGCGUGGAGGAUGACACAUUUCGGUGCGUAAACUCCUUUUAUAUAGGAAGAUAAUGACGGUACUAUAUGAAUAAGCACCGGCUAACUCCGUGCCAGCAGCCGCGGUAAUACGGAGGGUGCAAGCGUUACUCGGAAUCACUGGGCGUAAAGAGAAUGUAGGCGGGUUAAUAAGUUGGAAGUGAAAUCCUAUGGCUCAACCAUAGAACUGCUUUCAAAACUGUUGACCUAGAAUAUGGGAGAGGUAGAUGGAAUUUCUGGUGUAGGGGUAAAAUCCGUAGAGAUCAGAAGGAAUACCGAUUGAGAAGGCGAUCUACUGGAACAUUAUUGACGCUGAGAUUCGAAAGCGUGGGGAGCAAACAGGAUUAGAUACCCUGGUAGUCCACGCCCUAAACGAUGCACACUAGUUGUUGCCUUGCUCGACAAGGCAGUAAUGCAGUUAACAC